rnacentral:sRNA from 1 species
AAUAUCCAAAAAUACGAAUAUCCGGAUUUUUGUGUGAUAUUUGUCGGAUAUCCGCUUUGCUUUGCUAUAUUCAAAU